UACGUAGGGUGCGAGCGUUGUCCGGAUUUAUUGGGCGUAAAGAGCUCGUAGGCGGUCUGUCGCGUCCGUUGUGAAAACUCGAGGCUCAACCUCGGGCUUGCAGUGGAUACGGGCAGACUAGAGUGCGGUAGGGGAGACUGGAAUUCCUGGUGUAGCGGUGGAAUGCGCAGAUAUCAGGAGGAACACCGAUGGCGAAGGCAGGUCUCUGGGCCGCAACUGACGCUGAGGAGCGAAAGCAUGGGGAGCGAACAGG
rnacentral:rRNA from 1 species